rnacentral:misc_RNA from 1 species
UCCGGCUUACCACCGGCAGUUUCCUUAGAGUUCCCACCAUAACGUGCUGGCAAAUAAGGAUGAGGGUUGCGCUCGUUGCGGGACUUAACCCAACAUCUCACGACACGAGCUGACGACAGCCAUGCAACACCUGUGUACACCCAACUAAAUGAGGAAAUCAUCUCUGAUAACCGCAGUGUACAUGUCAAAAGUUGGUAAGGUUUUUCGCGUAGCAUCGAAUUAAACCACAUACUCCACCGCUUGUGCGGGUCCCCGUCAAUUCCUUUGAGUUUUAGCCUUGCGGCCGUACUCCCCAGGCGGAGUGCUUAACGCGUUAGCUGCAACACCGAAGCCUUAAGGCCCCGACAUUUAGCACUCAUCGUUUACGGUGUGGACUAC